UCGCCAAAAUACUUUCCCCUCCCCCUGGGACCCUAGCCUCAUCUUCGCUUCUUAAGCUUGUAAAAAGACCCAUAGACAGAACUUCAAUCCCAUUCACCACCAAUAAUCAAACAAGAAGAUUAACUUUCUCUCACCAAAAUCAAAAUCAAAAUCAAAAAACCAAAACUUCUCUUAGUUUCUAAUCUACCCUAAUUAAAACCCAUCUUCGAAUCUGAAUGAUUUUUUUUCGACAAAAAAUAAAUCAUCAGCAACAACAACGAUGGCAAAGAAUCCUUCCCAUUAGAAAAGCCAUAAAAGAAUUUGAUUUUCCAGUCAAAUCCUUAACCCAAUUUGGAAUCUGACUUCAGAUUAAUGCUCAGCAUGUUGUAAUCUGAAUUACCCACAAAAUAUUUUCGUAUUCAAAUCAUUUACAAAUUACGAUUUUCGAUCUAAUGGAGGGAAUCAGAGCUUAUCCGAUUGUAACUAUAGAAAUCCAUUAAUCUGUUAGGCGUGAGUUUUGGUUCGUUUUGAAGGAUUUGGAUUUUUGGGUAUCCAUCAGCUGCUGAAAUAAUCACCAGUUUGUGGUAUUGCAGACCAAAGAGUUGAUAAUACUCACCUGUGGUGUUUGUGUAUUUGGAUUUAUAUUCAAUCCAUCGCUGGAUACAAGGAUUCUCGCAGAUUGUUGCAUUCAUUUUUUUUUAUUUGCCUCUGGGAACUACAAGUGUUGGUGUUGUUUAAGAGGUCUGCAAAAUACUUGUUACUGGAAUGAAAAUACUAGAAGUCAUAGAACUGGGAAGUGGUGGAGUACCUCAAGCACCCAGGGAAGUUUGCACGCCUUGGAGGAAAGCUGCUCAAGGAUGGAUUUCCAAGUCUUUACUUUGAAUGAAAAGAGGUGGAUAGACUGCCAAGAGACAAUGAUGUUUUCACCGAUGGAGACCAAAAGUUCAUAGACUUUAUAUCUUGUGUCUGAAGGGCACGUACAUAUCAUGUGGAAUGGGUUUAUGCCGGGAUGUCGAUUGGAUAUACCAUGGAGAAAGGUAGGACCAGUUGAGGGAAACUACUGAUGCUUGAAAUGUGGUGCAGGACGACCAUGACGACGCAAUGUUUGAUUUGCUGCAAGAAAUGAACUAUGACGCCUCCAAAUUUACAAGUUUCUGAACGAUGCACAGGUUAGUGUUAGGACUUCUUCUCGCUGCGAAAGUUGAGUUACGAAACAGCAGCGAAGUUACAAAACUAUACCGACAUUGGGUACUUCCCAUUUGGGAAGACAGGACAGUUCAAACUUUUAAGUCUUUCAUGACUCCUAUUUUCUAUCUUUUGUAAACUUUUAAGACUGUUUCAUGGCACUCGUUUUCUUGAACCAUUUCCAUGAACGAUAAAUUUAUCCGGAUUGCUGUCAGGAAUCUCAGGAUCUAAGUUGCACAUUUCACUGUCAAAACUUUUGUACAACCCAUACCUAGCAGCGUCUGCCAUCUUAAUUUCUGUACCUACUGUCCGCUUGUUAAGGAAUCUCGAAAGGGAAGAGUAGUAGUCGAAAUUCCUUAACUGAAAACAACAUUUUCUUGUUUUCAAAACGACUGAUCAAGAAUGUGAUAGUAAAUCAAAGUGUUAAAAUUUA